UGGGGAAUUUUGGACAAUGGGCGCAAGCCUGAUCCAGCCAUGCCGCGUGCGGGAAGAAGGCCUUCGGGUUGUAAACCGCUUUUGUCGGGGAAGAAAUCUCUCGGGCUAAUACCUCGGGGGGAUGACGGUACCCGAAGAAUAAGCACCGGCUAACUACGUGCCAGCAGCCGCGGUAAUACGAAGGGUGCGAGCGUUAAUCGGAAUUACUGGGAGUAAAGCGUGCGCAGGCGGGCGUGCAAGACAGAUGUGAAAUCCCCGGGCUCAACCUGGGAACUGCAUUUGUGACGGCACGGCUGGAGUACGGCAGAGNGGGAUGGAAUUCCGCGUGUAGCAGUGAAAUGCGUAGAUAUGCGGAGGAACACCGAUGGCGAAGGCAGUCCCCUGGGCCUGUACUGACGCUCAUGCACGAAAGCGUGGGGAGCAAACA
rnacentral:rRNA from 1 species